ensembl:rRNA 5S_rRNA 5S ribosomal RNA
CUCGGAAGCUAAGCAGGGUCGGGCCUGGUUAGUAUCUUGGAUGGGAGACCACCUGGGAAUCCCGGGUGCUCGAGG